AACAAUGUCGCAACCAACUUCAGAUUCUAGGAGUUCCCUAAGGCCCUGACCCAUGUCAGAAGGUGGAAGAGGAAUCGAAUACUGUUUUGGUCCGUCAAGACGAGUUCUGACAACUCCGACAGUGCAAUUCAUGAUUAGACAGUCAUCCUUUAUAUAAUCAGAAUUUUCUAAGGUAGUCCUCCUAAAGAAUCGCUUGUAACCCCACAUGCUUCCUCUAUACUUGAGGGUGUAAGGUCCACUCUCCAACGCACGAUCAAAGUGGCUAUGCACUUUGUGCUUCCCAUUUCCACUCUGAUCCACCAACGUCAACUCGAA
rnacentral:misc_RNA from 1 species